UACGGAGGGUGCGAGCGUUGUCCGGAAUCAUUGGGCGUAAAGGGCGCGUAGGUGGCGCGGUAAGCGUGCGGUGAAAGCCUGGGGCUCAACCUCGGGUCUGCAGUCGAUACGGGCGGACUGGAGUUCGGCAGGGGAGACUGGAAUUCCUGGUGUAGCAGUGAAAUGCGUAGAUAUCAGGAGGAAUACCGAUGGCGAAGGCAGGUCUCUGGGCUGACACUGACGCUCAUGCACGAAAGCGUGGGGAGCAAACAGG
rnacentral:rRNA from 1 species